CCUACGGGUGGCAGCAGUGAGGAAUAUUGGUCAAUGGGCGCAAGCCUGAACCAGCCAAGUCGCGUGAGGGAUGACGGUCCUAUGGACUGUAAACCUCUUUUGUCGGGGAGCAAGGCCCGCCACGUGUGGCGGGAAGGAGAGUACCCGAUGAAAAAGCAUCGGCUAACUCCGUGCCAGCAGUAGCGGUAAUACGGAGGAUUCGAGCGUUAUCCGGAUUUAUUGGGUUUAAAGGGUGCGUAGGUGGAAGGUUAAGUCAGCGGUCAAAUGCCGCUGCUCAACAGCGGCAUGCCGUUGAAACUGGUCUACGUGAGUGAGGGAGAGGUAUGCGGAAUGCGUGGUGUAGCGGUGAAAUGCGUAGAUAUCACGAAGAACUCCGAUUGCGAAGGCAGCAUACCGGCGCUCAACUGACGCUGAGGCACGAAAGCGUGGGGAUCGAACAGGAUUAGAUACCCGGGUAGUC
rnacentral:rRNA from 1 species